AGGAAUAUUGGUCAAUGGACGAGAGUCUGAACCAGCCAAGUAGCGUGAAGGAUGACUGCCCUAUGGGUUGUAAACUUCUUUUAUAUGGGAAUAAAAUGAGUUACGUGUAGCUUUUUGUAUGUACCAUAUGAAUAAGGAUCGGCUAACUCCUUGCCAGCAGCCGCGGUAAUACGGAGGAUCCGAGCGUUAUCCGGAUUUAUUGGGUUUAAAGGGAGCGUAGGCGGGUUGUUAAGUCAGUUGUGAAAGUUUGCGGCUCAACCGUAAAAUUGCAGUUGAUACUGGCAUCCUUGAGUACAGUAGAGGUAGGCGGAAUUCGUGGUGUAGCGGUGAAAUGCUUAGAUAUCACGAAGAACUCCGAUUGCGAAGGCAGCCUGCUGGACUGUAACUGACGCUGAUGCUCGAAAGUGUGGGUAUCAAACAGG
rnacentral:rRNA from 1 species